CAGUCGUGAGGAAGGUAGUGUAGUUAAUAGCUGCAUUAUUUGACGUUAGCGACAGAAGAAGCACCGGCUAACUCCGUGCCAGCAGCCGCGGUAAUACGGAGGUGCGAGCGUUAAUCGGAAUUACUGGCGUAAAGACGCAUGCAGGUGGUUUGUUAAGUCAGAUGUGAAAGACCCGGGGCGUCAACCUACGGAAUAGCAUUUGUAAACUAGGCAAACUAGAGUACUGUAGAGGGGGGUAGGAAUUUCAGGUGUAGCGGUGAAAUGCGUAGAGAUCUGAAGGAAUACCGGUGGCGAAGGCGGCCCCCUCGGACAGAUACUGACACUCAGAUGCGAAAGCGUGGGGAGCAAACAGGAUUAGAUACCCUGGUAG
rnacentral:rRNA from 1 species